rnacentral:rRNA from 1 species
AGUGAACGCUGGCGGUAGGCCUAACACAUGCAAGUCGAACGGCAGCACAGGAGAGCUUGCUCUCUGGGUGGCGAGUGGCGGACGGGUGAGGAAUACAUCGGAAUCAACUCUGUCGUGGGGGAUAACGUAGGGAAACUUACGCUAAUACCGCAUACGACCUACGGGUGAAAGCAGGGGACCUUCGGGCCUUGCGCGAUUGAAUGAGCCGAUGUCGGACUAGCUAGUUGGCGGGGUAAAGGCCCACCAAGGCGACGAUCCGUAGCUGGUCUGAGAGGGUGAUCAGCCACACUGGAACUGAGACACGGUCCAGACUCCUACGGGAGGCAGCAGUGGGGAAUAUUGGACAAUGGGCGCAAGCCUGAUCCAGCCAUACCGCGUGGGUGAAGAAGGCCUUCGGGUUGUAAAGCCCUUUUGUUGGGAAAGAAAUCCAGCUGGCUAAUACCCGGUUGGGAUGACGGUACCCAAAGAAUAAGCACCGGCUAACUUCGUGCCAGCAGCCGCAGUAA